CAUGGUUUCACUUACUGCAAGUGAUCACACUUCUAGACAAUUAAUUUGGAAACUAAGAUUCUUCUUUGAUCCCCCACGCAAUAAAAUGGGAAAGCAGAAAUGGAGUUAACCCAUUGUUCAUCACGGAUUAAGUAGAACCCUUGCCCCUGGCAUUAAAGAACAACCAAAUUAGAGCUGGUCAACAAAAAAAGAAUCAAUGGAAAGACCCUGUGUAAGCAGGAUAUCAUUGUGGAGACGUCACCAAGGUACCAUAUCACCGAUCAUUGGAAUUGCCAUACUGGAUCAGAGCAGUGUGCCCUGGCUAGGUAAUCUAGUAUCCCAUCUCCGACAGCGGACUGUACCAACUGCUUCAGAGAAAGGUGCAAGAAACAGAAGUUAUGGAAUUGCCUGUCUACAGGGAAAGCUUCUUCCUAAACCCCAUUAA